rnacentral:rRNA from 2 species
GCUCACUGGUCUAGUGAUUCUGCGCGGAAAAUAUAACGGGGCUAAGAUGUACACCGAAGCUUUAGAUUCAAUUUUUAAUUGAGUGGUAGGAGAGCGUUCUAUUCAGCGUUGAAGGUAUACCGGUAAGGAGUGCUGGAGCGGAUAGAAGUGAGCAUGCAGGCAUGAGUAGCGAUAAUUAAGGUGAGAAUCCUUAACGCCGAAAACCCAAGGUUUCCUACGCGAUGCUCGUCAUCGUAGGGUUAGUCGGGUCCUAAGUCGAGACUGAAAAGUGUAGACGAUGGCAAAUUGGUUAAUAUUCCAAUACCAACAUAUAAGCGCGAUGUGGGGACGCAUAGAGUUAAUCGAGGUCACGGAUGGAAGUGUGGCUCGAAGGAUGUAGGUUGUUAAGUAGGCAAAUCCGCUUAACAGUAGACCGAGAUCUUACAGGCUCUUGACACUCUUCGGAGGAGAUGGAGAAUCGAUGAUACUGUCGUGCCAAGAAAAGCCACUAAGUUUAUUAUAUGUUGCCCGUACCGUAAACCGACACAGGUGGGUGGGAUGAGUAUUCUAAGGCGCGUGGAAGAACCCUCUUUAAGGAACUCUGCAAAAUAGCACCGUAUCUUCGGUAUAAGGUGUGCCUACUUUGGUAUAUGGACUUGCUUCAAAAAGCUAAAGAGGUUGCAACAAAGAGUCCCUCCCGACUGUUUACCAAAAACACAGCACUUUGCUAACACGUAAGUGGAUGUAUAAGGUGUGACGCCUGCCCGGUGUUCGAAGGUUAAUUGAUGAUGUCAGCGCAAGCGAAGCAUUUGAUCGAAGCCCGAGUAAACGGCGGCCGUAACUAUAA